UCUCCGUUGGUGAACCAGCGGAGGGAUCAUUACCGAGUUUACAACUCCCAAACCCAAUGUGAACCAUACCAAACUGUUGCCUCGGCGGGGUCACGCCCCGGGUGCGUCGCAGCCCCGGGACCAGGCGCCCGCCGGAGGGACCAACCAAACUCUUUCUGUAGUCCCCUCGCGGACGUUAUUUUUACAGCUCUGAGCAAAAAUUCAAAAUGAAUCAAAACUUUCAACAACGGAUCUCUUGGUUCUG
rnacentral:misc_RNA from 1 species